GGUAUAACCUGGGAACCCUUUUAGAUCUCCGAUUUGGUAGCAGACUACGAUAAGAAAGCAUCGUAAGCAAGCUGAGAAAAUAGCAUUGCAUUAGCAGCAGCGUUGAUAAAAAGAGUUAGAAAAUGCGAAAGUUCGAUCCAUGGCCCGUUUUCUUCAAGCGCGAAUGGAAACGGAACUGGCCUUUCCUCGUUGGAUUCGCAGUCACCGGAGCCGUAAUCACAAAGUUUUCCCUCGGCCUUACCGAGGAAGACGCGAAGAAUUCCAAGUUCGUUCAGGCGCACAAAAGGUGACUUCUAAAUAGUGAGAUAUGCACUGGCUUUGCACUGUGUUAGAUUUGUCAAGAUUACUUUGUUUGUCUUGAUUUUAUGGAUUGUAAUAACAUAAGAGAGAUAUGCUCUGGAUAAUCUCUCUAAGUCUGUAUCUCAUGUUUUUACAUUCAGUUAUGGUUGUGUACCUAAAUCUGGUUGAAGAAAACCCACAAUGGUUAUUAAUUUCUGAUUCAAGUUAUUUCCUUCAUUAAAAUUCU